CUACGGGGUGCUGCAGUCGAGAAUAGUCUACAAUGGACGAAAGUCUGAUAGUGCGACGCCGCGUGGAUGAAGAAGCAUUUCGGUGUGUAAAGUCCUUUUCUGUGUGAGCAAUGUUUUCCAGGUUAAUAGCUUGGAGAAAGCGAUAUUAACACAGGAAUAAGCUCCGGCUAACUCCGUGCCAGCAGCCGCGGUAACACGGGGGGAGCAAGCGUUGUCCGGAAUUACUAGGCGUAAAGGGUAAAGUAGGCGGAAUUGUAAGUCAGAUGUUAAAGGCACCGGCUCAACCGGUGUAUUGCAUUUGAUACUGUAAUUCUAGAGUAAGGUGGGGGAAGACGGAAUUCCUGGUGUAGCGGUGGAAUGCGCAGAUAUCAGGAGGAACACCAGAGGCGCAGGCGGUCUUCUAUACCAUUACUGACGCUCAAUUACGAAGGUGUGGGUAUCAAACAGGAUUAGAUACCCGGGUAGUC
rnacentral:rRNA from 1 species